rnacentral:rRNA from 1 species
GACGGAGGGGGCAAGCGUUGUCCGGACUCACUGGGCGUAAAGCGCACGUAGGUGGUCUGAUGCGUCGGUGCUGAAAGCGCCCGGCUUAACCGGGCGAGGCGUGCCGAUACGAUCGGACUUGAGGCAGGGAGAGGAUGGCGGAAUUCCGGGUGUAGUGGUGAAAUGCGUAGAGAUCCGGAGGAACGCCAGAGACGAAGGUGGCCAUCUGGCCCUGUCCUGACACUGAUGUGCGAUAGCGUGGGGAG